GAUGAACGCUGGCGGCGUGCCUUAGGCAUGCAAGUCGAACGAUCUGUCUUCGGACAGGGAGUGGCGGACGGGUGAGUAACGCGUAGGAAUCUACCCUCUGGUGGGGAAUAACCCCGAGAAAUCGGGGCUAAUACCGCAUAACCUCUACGGAGAAAAGGGCAUAACUGCCCGCCGGAGGAGGAGCCUGCGUCUUAUCAGCUUGUUGGUGGGGUAAUGGCUCACCAAGGCGAUGACGGGUAGCUGGACUGAGAGGUCGGUCAGCCACAAGGUCACUGAGACACGGGGCCUACACCUACGGGUGGCAGCAACCGGGAAUCUUGCGCAAUGGGCGAAAGCCUGACGCAGCGACGCCGCGUGUAUGAAGAAGGCCUUCGGGUUGUAAAGUACUUUCAGUCGUGAGGAAGGCAUUGUAGUUAAUAGCUGCAGUGCUUGACGUUAGCGACAGAAGAAGCACCGGCUAACUCCGUG
rnacentral:rRNA from 1 species